UACGUAGGGUGCGAGCGUUGUCCGGAAUUAUUGGGCGUAAAGAGCUCGUAGGCGGUCUGUCGCGUCUGCUGUGAAAUCCCGAGGCUCAACCUCGGGCCUGCAGUGGGUACGGGCAGACUAGAGUGCGGUAGGGGAGAUUGGAAUUCCUGGUGUAGCGGUGGAAUGCGCAGAUAUCAGGAGGAACACCGAUGGCGAAGGCAGAUCUCUGGGCCGUAACUGACGCUGAGGAGCGAAAGCGUGGGGAGCGAACAGGAUUAGAA
rnacentral:rRNA from 1 species